rnacentral:tRNA from 1 species
UUAAAUAUAGCGCAGCCUGGUAGCGCGCACCCUUGGGGUGGGUGAGGUCGUGGGUUCGAAUCCCGCUAUUCCGACCA